AGUGAACGCUGGCGGUAGGCCUAACACAUGCAAGUCGAACGGCAGCACAGUAAGAGCUUGCUCUUACGGGUGGCGAGUGGCGGACGGGUGAGGAAUACAUCGGAAUCUACUUUUUCGGGGGGGAUAACGUAGGGAAACUUACGCUAAUACCGCAUACGACCUACGGGUGAAAGCAGGGGAUCUUCGGACCUUGCGCGAUUGAAUGAGCCGAUGUCGGAUUAGCUAGUUGGCGGGGUAAAGGCCCACCAAGGCGACGAUCCGUAGCUGGUCUGAGAGGAUAAUCGGCCACACUGGAACUGAGACACGGUCCAGACUCCUACGGGAGGCAGCAGUGGGGAAUAGUGGACAAUGGGCGCAAGCCUGAUCCAGCCAUACCGCGUGGGUGAAGAAGGCCUUCGGGUUGUAAAGCCCUUUUGUUGGGAAAGAAGAGCAGCAGGUUAAUACCCCGCUGUUCUGACGGUACCCAAAGAAUAAGCACCGGCUAACUUCGUG
rnacentral:rRNA from 1 species